rnacentral:rRNA from 1 species
UACGGAGGAUCCGAGCGUUAUCCGGAUUUAUUGGGUUUAAAGGGUGCGUAGGCGGAUAUGUAAGUCAGCGGUGAAACUCACAGGCUCAACCUGUGCCGUGCCGUUGAAACUGUGUAUCUGGAAUGCGGAUGCUGUGGGAGGAAUGUGUAGUGUAGCGGUGAAAUGCAUAGAUAUUACACAGAACGCCGAUUGCGAAGGCAUCUCACAAAGCCGUUAUUGACGCUGAGGCACGAAAGUGUGGGGAUCAAACA